GGGUUGUGAGGUUAAGCGACUAAGCGUACACGGUGGAUGCCCUGGCAGUCAGAGGCGAUGAAGGACGUGCUAAUCUGCGAUAAGCGUCGGUAAGGUGAUAUGAACCGUUAUAACCGGCGAUUUCCGAAUGGGGAAACCCAGUGUGUUUCGACACACUAUCAUUAACUGAAUCCAUAGGUUAAUGAGGCGAACCGGGGGAACUGAAACAUCUAAGUACCCCGAGGAAAAGAAAUCAACCGAGAUUCCCCCAGUAGCGGCGAGCGAACGGGGAGCAGCCCAGAGCCUGAAUCAGUGUGUGUGUUAGUGGAAGCGUCUGGAAAGGCGCGCGAUACAGGGUGACAGCCCCGUACACAAAAAUACACAUAUUGUGAGCUCGAUGAGUAGGGCGGGACACGUGGUAUCCUGUCUGAAUAUGGGGGGACCAUCCUCCAAGGCUAAAUACUCCUGACUGACCGAUAGUGAACCAGUACCGUGAGGGAAAGGCGAAAAGAACCCCGGCGAGGGGAGUGAAAAAGAACCUGAAACCGUGUACGUACAAGCAGUGGGAGCACGCUUAGGCGUGUGACUGCGUACCUUUUGUAUAAUGGGUCAGCGACUUAUAUUCUGUAGCAAGGUUAACCGAAUAGGGGAGCCGAAGGGAAACCGAGUCUUAACUGGGCGUUAAGUUGCAGGGUAUAGACCCGAAACCCGGUGAUCUAGCCAUGGGCAGGUUGAAGGUUGGGUAACACUAACUGGAGGACCGAACCGACUAAUGUUGAAAAAUUAGCGGAUGACUUGUGGCUGGGGGUGAAAGGCCAAUCAAACCGGGAGAUAGCUGGUUCUCCCCGAAAGCUAUUUAGGUAGCGCCUCGUGAAUUCAUCUCCGGGGGUAGAGCACUGUUUCGGCAAGGGGGUCAUCCCGACUUACCAACCCGAUGCAAACUGCGAAUACCGGAGAAUGUUAUCACGGGAGACACACGGCGGGUGCUAACGUCCGUCGUGAAGAGGGAAACAACCCAGACCGCCAGCUAAGGUCCCAAAGUCAUGGUUAAGUGGGAAACGAUGUGGGAAGGCCCAGACAGCCAGGAUGUUGGCUUAGAAGCAGCCAUCAUUUAAAGAAAGCGUAAUAGCUCACUGGUCGAGUCGGCCUGCGCGGAAGAUGUAACGGGGCUAAACCAUGCACCGAAGCUGCGGCAGCGACGCUUAUGCGUUGUUGGGUAGGGGAGCGUUCUGUAAGCCUGUGAAGGUGUGCUGUGAGGCAUGCUGGAGGUAUCAGAAGUGCGAAUGCUGACAUAAGUAACGAUAAAGCGGGUGAAAAGCCCGCUCGCCGGAAGACCAAGGGUUCCUGUCCAACGUUAAUCGGGGCAGGGUGAGUCGACCCCUAAGGCGAGGCCGAAAGGCGUAGUCGAUGGGAAACAGGUUAAUAUUCCUGUACUUGGUGUUACUGCGAAGGGGGGACGGAGAAGGCUAUGUUGGCCGGGCGACGGUUGUCCCGGUUUAAGCGUGUAGGCUGGUUUUCCAGGCAAAUCCGGAAAAUCAAGGCUGAGGCGUGAUGACGAGGCACUACGGUGCUGAAGCAACAAAUGCCCUGCUUCCAGGAAAAGCCUCUAAGCAUCAGGUAACAUCAAAUCGUACCCCAAACCGACACAGGUGGUCAGGUAGAGAAUACCAAGGCGCUUGAGAGAACUCGGGUGAAGGAACUAGGCAAAAUGGUGCCGUAACUUCGGGAGAAGGCACGCUGAUAUGUAGGUGAAGUCCCUCGCGGAUGGAGCUGAAAUCAGUCGAAGAUACCAGCUGGCUGCAACUGUUUAUUAAAAACACAGCACUGUGCAAACACGAAAGUGGACGUAUACGGUGUGACGCCUGCCCGGUGCCGGAAGGUUAAUUGAUGGGGUUAGCGCAAGCGAAGCUCUUGAUCGAAGCCCCGGUAAACGGCGGCCGUAACUAUAACGGUCCUAAGGUAGCGAAAUUCCUUGUCGGGUAAGUUCCGACCUGCACGAAUGGCGUAAUGAUGGCCAGGCUGUCUCCACCCGAGACUCAGUGAAAUUGAACUCGCUGUGAAGAUGCAGUGUACCCGCGGCAAGACGGAAAGACCCCGUGAACCUUUACUAUAGCUUGACACUGAACAUUGAGCCUUGAUGUGUAGGAUAGGUGGGAGGCUUGGAAGUGCGGACGCCAGUCUGCAUGGAGCCGACCUUGAAAUACCACCCUUUAAUGUUUGAUGUUCUAACGUUGACCCGUAAUCCGGGUUGCGGACAGUGUCUGGUGGGUAGUUUGACUGGGGCGGUCUCCUCCUAAAGAGUAACGGAGGAGCACGAAGGUUGGCUAAUCCUGGUCGGACAUCAGGAGGUUAGUGCAAUGGCAUAAGCCAGCUUGACUGCGAGCGUGACGGCGCGAGCAGGUGCGAAAGCAGGUCAUAGUGAUCCGGUGGUUCUGAAUGGAAGGGCCAUCGCUCAACGGAUAAAAGGUACUCCGGGGAUAACAGGCUGAUACCGCCCAAGAGUUCAUAUCGACGGCGGUGUUUGGCACCUCGAUGUCGGCUCAUCACAUCCUGGGGCUGAAGUAGGUCCCAAGGGUAUGGCUGUUCGCCAUUUAAAGUGGUACGCGAGCUGGGUUUAGAACGUCGUGAGACAGUUCGGUCCCUAUCUGCCGUGGGCGCUGGAGAACUGAGGGGGGCUGCUCCUAGUACGAGAGGACCGGAGUGGACGCAUCACUGGUGUUCGGGUUGUCAUGCCAAUGGCACUGCCCGGUAGCUAAAUGCGGAAGAGAUAAGUGCUGAAAGCAUCUAAGCACGAAACUUGCCCCGAGAUGAGUUCUCCCUGACCCUUUAAGGGUCCUGAAGGAACGUUGAAGACGACGACGUUGAUAGGCCGGGUGUGUAAGCGCAGCGAUGCGUUGAGCUAACCGGUACUAAUGAACCGUGAGGCUUAACCUUACAACGCCGAAGCUGUU
rnacentral:rRNA from 1 species